rnacentral:rRNA from 1 species
UACAGAGGUCUCAAGCGUUGUUCGGAUUCAUUGGGCGUAAAGGGUGCGUAGGCGGCGCGGCAAGUCGGGUGUGAAAUCUCGGAGCUUAACUCCGAAACUGCAUUCGAUACUGCCGUGCUUGAGGACUGGAGAGGAGACUGGAAUUUACGGUGUAGCGGUGAAAUGCGUAGAUAUCGUAAGGAAGACCAGUGGCGAAGGCGGGUCUCUGGACAGUUCCUGACGCUGAGGCACGAAAGCUAGGGGAGCAAACAGG